CCAAAAACCUUAUUCACUUUUGUAAAUAUUUACAGUAAAGUCAAAUAAGUGUAGAGCCCUACACAGACUCCAGUAUACAAAAUGAGCAACAUGUAAUUAUAACACAACAUUAUUUACCAUCACUGUUGGCCACAGGGGGUUCUGUGACCAGUCCUUCUUGACGGUCGAAGCUUUCAUCUUGACCUGAGACGGUGGAACUGAUGUUUCUUUCUCUCAGGAAGAGAGCAACUACUCCGAGUACGGAAGCAGCCUGUGAAGCAGAGGCUGAAGAAAAAAGCUUCAGCAGUUGGAAGCAGGAGGAAUGGGUGGUCGGUUGAAAGAAGAGCCACAACAAUGCAUCCAAAGAUGAAGCAGUUGUUAUAGUUAAGAAACUCCUCGCCGUUGAGUACUAGGCUAUUCUGCUUCUCAGCAAGGAGACUAAGAACAAAGAACACAAAUGUGAAAUAUUGACCCCUCGGUGCACACUUUCCACUUAUGCCCAAGACUACCUUCAGAAGAUUGGCUCAUUUUCUCAACACUUUUGUGAAGGAGCAGGUGGAGGAGGCGACUAUGAUGGAGAGCCAAGUGCAGCAGGUGACCAUUUAAGGAGCAGGUGGAGGAGGUGACCUUGGGCACGACCAUUUCUCCUAUGACCAAACGUCUUGUGCAGAGCUGCAGUUUAGGCGCCUGAGGCUGGAGAACGCUAGACGUCCAUUGUGGAGAAGCUGAAGGUGGGAGUGGUCCCCAGCUGGUGUACAGGCUGGCCCUUCAGGAUCAAUGCGAGGACUCGUCUGUCACUGGAGUCUUACAGGAAUCAGUCUCAUGCUCUCCACUCCUCCAUGACCACCACAGCAGCUGCUCAGGAUACGGCCUGGCUCAGGAUUUUAGAAACCUUGGGAUUAAUAACAAAAAAAGACUAACAUACACUCAGCACCACCUUCAAGAUGGGCAGUUUCCAGUGGCACCACGUGGAGGAACGGACAUCGCCACCUAUAUAUACAGGGUUUGGAUUAUCACUCACCAUGAACUACAACUACACACUAAAUCACUAGUCAAUAAAUGAUGUCCUCCAACCAUAAAUCAUAUACCACAUUAGCAAAACAUUAGACUAGAGAAGGUUGUAUAUGAGGACAAUAUUAAAGCAAAUACUAAAGGUAGUAACUUUAUUCAUCUUCAGAACACAAAUGAAGAUAUCUGAAUGAAAAUAAUGAAGAUAUUUUAGUUAAAUCUGAGAGCUCCUUAAUCUCUCAUAGACAGCAAGAUUCCUGACUAUGAGGAUAAUUUUAUGUGCACAUAAAACAAAAAUAACUUUAUUCAACAGUUUCUUCCCUCAGUGUCAGUAUAGGGCACGCGUUCACGUGUUGCGCCUCUGACAUAUAACCUUGGAUGUGCCUGUGAAGUUUUUAAGAGAGGAAGUCAGAGAGGAAGUCGCACAGGCAUCCGUGGGGUAUAUGUCACUGCACAGUGCUUGUGAACGCGUGCCCUAUAAUCACACUGAGGAGAAGAAACUGUGAAUAAAAAUGU